AUAGUUCACAUUUCUCAACAAUAAUAUCUUUUAAAUAAAAUCUUUUGAUAAAACAACUUUUAUUUUAACCUACGAUAUAUAGAAGAGACAUAUUCAGAUUGAAGUUUACAAAUGGUAUUUAGAUUAUAUUUUUAUUAAAGUACGCGUAAAAAAAAAUUAUUUUGAAUUUCCAAUAAAAAACGAAUAGCGCAUGACAUUUGAUAAGAUAUAUGUUAUUAUCGUGCCGUUUGAAUUCACGAAAUAGAUAUUUGCGCGUAUAUAAGACCGUGGAAAUGUAGUAGCCACAAGAAAUUAUUUUAUUUGAUACCAAAUAUACAGAAAAACUUCAUCAUGCGAAAUAUAUUCGUGAUUCUACUUCUUGCUGUAGUCGGAAUUUUGACGUACUACGAAGUAGAUGGCUUUUAUAAAGGGCCGGUACCUUUUUUUUGUAAGGGAUCCAAGAAAUUUCCGAAACCAUUACUUUGUCGUUUUUAACUUAUCAUGGAUUUCGAAAAUAAAUAAAAUGACUGUUAUGAACUACGUAAAGAAUAUAUUAUUUAAAUCUUAUUAAUUGUUUCAAAAAGAAAUGAAAUUUUUUUUUUGUAAAAUAUAAGAUAAUUGAAUAAUUU